GACGAACGCUGGCGGCGUGCUUAACACAUGCAAGUCGAACGGGAAGGCCCUGCUUUUGUGGGGUGCUCGAGUGGCGAACGGGUGAGUAACACGUGAGUAACCUGCCCUUGACUUUGGGAUAACUUCAGGAAACUGGGGCUAAUACCGGAUAGGAGCUCCUGCUGCAUGGUGGGGGUUGGAAAGUUUCGGCGGUUGGGGAUGGACUCGCGGCUUAUCAGCUUGUUGGUGGGGUAGUGGCUUACCAAGGCUUUGACGGGUAGCCGGCCUGAGAGGGUGACCGGCCACAUUGGGACUGAGAUACGGCCCAGACUCCUACGGGAGGCAGCAGUGGGGAAUAUUGCACAAUGGGCGGAAGCCUGAUGCAGCAACGCCGCGUGCGGGAUGACGGCCUUCGGGUUGUAAACCGCUUUCGCCUGUGACGAAGCGUGAGUGACGGUAAUGGGUAAAGAAGCACCGGCUAACUACGUGCCAGCAGCCGCGGUGAUACGUAGGGUGCGAGCGUUGUCCGGAUUUAUUGGGCGUAAAGGGCUCGUAGGUGGUUGAUCGCGUCGGAAGUGUAAUCUUGGGGCUUAACCCUGAGCGUGCUUUCGAUACGGGUUGACUUGAGGAAGGUAGGGGAGAAUGGAAUUCCUGGUGGAGCGGCGGAAUGCGCAGAUAUCAGGAGGAACACCAGUGGCGAAGGCGGUUCUCUGGGCCUUUCCUGACGCUGAGGAGCGAAAGCGUGGGGAGCGAACAGGCUUAGAUACCCUGGUAGUCCACGCUGUAAACGGUGGGUACUAGGUGUGGGGUCCAUUCCACGGGUUCCGUGCCGUAGCUAACGCUUUAAGUACCCCGCCUGGGGAGUACGGCCGCAAGGCUAAAACUCAAAGGAAUUGACGGGCCCCGCACAAGCGGCGGAGCAUGCGGAUUAAUUCGAUGCAACGCGUAGAACCUUACCUGGGUUUGACAUGGAUCGGGAGUGCUCAGAGAUGGGUGUGCCUCUUUUGGGGUCGGUUCACAGGUGGUGCAUGGCUGUCGUCAGCUCGUGUCGUGAGAUGUUGGGUUAAGUCCCGCAACGAGCGCAACCCUUGUUCACUGUUGCCAGCACGUUAUGGUGGGGACUCAGUGGAGACCGCCGGGGUCAACUCGGAGGAAGGUGGGGAUGACGUCAAGUCAUCAUGCCCCUUAUGUCCAGGGCUUCACGCAUGCUACAAUGGCUGGUACAGAGAGUGGCGAGCCUGUGAGGGUGAGCGAAUCUCGGAAAGCCGGUCUCAGUUCGGAUUGGGGUCUACAACUCGACCUCAUGAAGUCGGAGUCGCUAGUAAUCGCAGAUCAGCAACGCUGCGGUGAAUACGUUCCCGGGGCU
rnacentral:rRNA from 1 species